rnacentral:rRNA from 1 species
UACGGAGGGGUUAGCGUUGUUCGGAACUUACUGGGCGUAAGACGCGCGUAGGCGGAUUGGAAAGUUGGGGUGAAAUCCCGGGGGCUCAACCCCCGGAACUGCCUCCAAAACUUCCAGUCUGGAGUUCGAGAGAGGUGAGUGGAAUUCCGAGUGUAGAGGUGAAAUUCGUAGAUAUUCGGAGGAACACCAGUGGCGAAGGCGGCUCACUGGCUCGAUACUGACGCUGAGGUGCGAAAGUGUGGGGAGCAAACAGGAUUAGAUACCCCUGUAGU